rnacentral:tRNA from 1 species
GCCCCCAUGGCCCAAUUGGCAGAGGCAACCGGCUUAAAACCGGUUCGGUGCGAGUUCGAGUCUCGCUGGGGGCA